rnacentral:rRNA from 1 species
UACUCCUACGGGAGGCAGCAGUAGUGAAUCUUCCGCAAUGGGGGAAAGCAUGA